rnacentral:rRNA from 1 species
UACGGAUGAUGCGAGCGUUAUCCGGAUUUAUUGGGUUUAAAGGGUGCGCAGGCGGGAGAUUAAGUCGGCGGUGAAAUUUUGCAGCUCAACUGUAAAAGUGCCUUCGAAACUGGUUUCCUUGAGUGUAGAUGAAGUAGGCGGAAUUUGUGGUGUAGCGGUGAAAUGCAUAGAUAUCACGAGGAACUCCGAUUGCGCAGGCAGCUUACUAAACCAUAACUGACGCUCAGGCACGAAGGCGUGGGGAUCAAACAGGAUUAGAUACCCGU